rnacentral:rRNA from 1 species
UACGGAGGGGCUAGCGUUGUUCGGAAUUACUGGGCGUAAAGCGCACGUAGGCGGCUUUGCAAGUUAGAGGUGAAAGCCCGGGGCUCAACUCCGGAAUUGCCUUUAAAACUGCAUCGCUAGAAUUGUGGAGAGGUAAGUGGAAUUCCGAGUGUAGAGGUGAAAUUCGUAGAUAUUCGGAGGAACACCAGUGGCGAAGGCGGCUCACUGGUCCAUUACUGACGCUGAGGUGCGAAAGCGUGGGGAGCAAACAGG